UACGGAGGGUGCAAGCGUUAUCCGGAUUUACUGGGUUUAAAGGGUGUGUAGGCGGACUUUUAAGUCAGCGGUGAAAUCUCCGGGCUCAACCCGGAAACUGCCAUUGAUACUAUUGGUCUUGAAUGAUGUUGAGGUGGGCGGAACGGGUCAUGUAGCGGUGAAAUGCAUAGAUAUGACCCGGAACACCGAUUGCGAAGGCAGCCCACUAAGCAACGAUUGACGCUGAGGCACGAAAGCGUGGGGAUCAAACAGG
rnacentral:rRNA from 1 species